GCUUUCAUGUACACAACCCCUUAAAUUCACCUAAUCUCUUGACGUCAUCCCGCCAAUGAUGAUGGAGGAGUUGGCCGCCGCAGCCAAGGCCAAGGAAGCGUCGUUUCCGGUGGUGUUCUUUGAUGGCGAACAGGAGACCAGCCUCGGCAACGUCGUCGUUUCCCCUUUUUUGAAUUUCAAACUUUUCCAAUCCAUUAUCAGCGAGAAACUUGUUUUGUCUCCCCACCAGUUCUCUAUUUAUCUCACGGAUACGAGGCGUGGCUCAAGAAUCCCCGUCACCAGAAAGAUCAAUUUCUCAGCGGUUUCUUGCGAGAAGGAUUGCUUCUUUGUCGUUGUUCUCAAUCGAUCGAAGCGCGAGCGGAGGAGGAAGAGUCGCGAGAUGGCCGAAAAUAUGCAGAACCGGUUCGAUCCACCUGCAACUGUGAUGCUUUUGAGGCGAGACGGUAACACUAUUGCAAUCAACAGUACUGGGUUCUCUAACCUCGAUUUGGGCCUAGCCAGGUACGAAAGACGGGUCAGUGAGCUGCAGAUGGAGAAAGACAGGUACUUGAUGAAAAUGGGUUUGGGGUUCGAAGGGCUGAACUUGGGGGCAGAGAGAACGAAUAAAACAGUUGUUUGCGAGGAAUGCUCUAGGGCUAAAGAGAUGGGCAGAGAUGUUGGGUUCCAUUGGUGUGUCUACGACACAGUUACUUUCAGGUUCAGGUCACCGGCGGGUCCUAUUGCCCGGCCCGUUAAAGGAUCAAGUUAAUGAUGAUACAUGAUAGCGCGGCGCCGACAUUUGUUUUGAUUGAGAAGUUGUCAUGCAUAGCAGGAAGAAGACAAGAGGGGUAUGGGAUGGUAAUGGGUAAGUAAUGGUAUACCUUAUUAUACGGUAUAUGACUGUCCUCUUUUUUUUUUUUUUUUUUCUCUCUGGAAGACUGUCCUUCUAAGUUAGGGUAAAUAUAUUCUGAUACAGUAUAUGGGUGUACAAGAAGAGGGACAUCUGCAUUUAGUACCCUAAAGUAAGGGUUUUUUGCUUGUGAUUUGGUUGAUACAAGAAACACAGUCGGUAGUUGGGUAGAAGAAAAGGGCAUAAAAGUUUGUGGGACUUGUUAAAUGGAGAAAUUUAGGUUGUGUGAUUUUGGGUAAUUUGGCUUCUAAUUGAAACAAAAAAAGAAAGUGGGAUUUUGGGAGUAAAAAUGAUUGAUGCUUUUUCAUUUUCAAUGACAAAG
rnacentral:misc_RNA from 1 species